UACGUAGGGUGCAAGCGUUAAUCGGAAUUACUGGGCGUAAAGCGUGCGCAGGCGGUGAUGUAAGACAGAUGUGAAAUCCCGGGCUCAACCUGGGAACUGCAUUUGUGACUGCAUCGCUGGAGUACGGCAGAGGGGAUGGAAUUCCGCGUGUAGCAGUGAAAUGCGUAGAUAUGCGGAGGAACACCGAUGGCGAAGGCAAUCCCCUGGGCCUGUACUGACGCUCAUGCACGAAAGCGUGGGGAGCAAACAGG
rnacentral:rRNA from 1 species